rnacentral:tRNA from 1 species
UGAUUCAUGAUUUUGGGUUCAAAUCAUGAUUCUGAAAUUAUGAUUCAGAAUCAGGGGUUUGAAUCACUUUGAAUCAA